AAUACUGCACUACUCUAUGUUAUCCCAUAUUGCGGUCAAUUUACUGAGCUGCGUUAUGUGUUCCUAUAUGGCUUCUUGCAACUUGAUGUAGGGGUAUGCGGUAUGUUUAAAUAACAGUGUUAUAUUCAUUGUUUUAAUGAGUCUACUAGAAGCAGUCACAGAUAUAGCUAGCUAGUAAGUGAAACUGAGGAACGAGAUUCAGUUGUAGCUCUAUUUAUAAUCUUUCUAAUAGCAGCUAUGAAUGUGAAAUUUAUGUGGAUAGAUGAAUAAAUAGCUACAAUUAUUAAUAAACGGAUCUUAACUAAUGUUCUAAUAUAUAACUAACUGUAGUUCAAUGUGUCGUUAAAUAAAUACUAAACUGCGUAGCUAACAACUACGUACUACUAAUGACAUAUGGUAAAUAUUAAUUAGAUCCCCGAACCGGUAAUUGCAGAUUAUCAAAAUUCUAUGUGCAUUGAAAAAUCGUUAACAAAAUUACUAGGUAAGUUGUAAAUAGAACUGAGAACUAUGACUAAAUUUGAAGUAUGAAGCUCAGUUAUAAGUUAUUUUAGUGAUAGGUAACAAUUUAACUUAUAUAUUAGAAUACAUAUAGCAAGCUACUCCCUCAUUUAUUUGCUUAUUGUAAUAUUAUGAAUCGGCAAAGAAAACUCUUACUGCAUUUCUCAAAUCCUUAAAAAAGGCAGCAAACGGUAGGUUAGAGAUGAGUUUUUUUUGAAAUUUACUCAUGUAUAGCAAGCGAUAUGUAAAAUGUACGAGUAACAGAUACUAUCAUUAUUGUUACAUUAUGUCUCUACUUAUAACUGCCUCAUGCCGGAACUGACAUACAAGAAAAGUUUGAGCUCUACUUACAGUAGUUCUGUCUAAUAUCUAAUUAAACGGGUAUUUUAGUAA